AAAGAAGUCAAGCCUCAGAGUCUACUGCCCUCAUGCGAUGAAAAGUGAGUGAGAGCAGCGAGCCAGUGACCAUUGUUGAUGCCAGGCAAGAGCCCUCCAUCUGGGAGCUGAGCAGCCGCCAGUCUCGCUACUCUCGCAAAGGAAUUGUCCAGGAGCCCUAGCCAGAGGAGAAGUGGCCAAGGUGUACCUAAGCAGCUUGGACAUCCUUCUAAGUGGACAUGAAGAGUCGUCAGCUUUCUGUCUCCCGCAUAACUGGCUCUGAGUAAGCGUACAAACAGUUUACUCCCCUCAUUGGAUGGAAAGCGAGCGAGAGCAGUGAGCCCGCGAGCACUGUUGAUGCAAGCCAGGAGUCGUCCAGUUGGCAGUGGAGCAGUCGCUAAUGUCAGUGAGAUAAGUGUCUGGUUUGUUUAAGGCUUUGUUCACGGCCCGCCUGGCUCCAGGUAGGGACUCCCCAUUAGCUGGGGCUGGGUUUGUAAGAAAUGGUUCCUGACCAGCUGUGGUUACGAGAGAGACAAGGUCCCCGUUUUCAGGGGCUGCUCAUUUCUCUGGCCAGGAACGGUGUCUCCUUCGCAGGAGAAGGUUGCAUCUAGGAGGAGGACUCCAGCUGGUGAGUUGCUUGCCGUGCUCUCAUGUUUCUCUGUCUUCUUUAGUGUGUUCGCCAACUCUCUCUCUCUCUCUCCUCUUCUCUCCUUUUGCUGUCUCACUUCAUAGGGUACGGGUAGUGUGCAUUCCCAGAAGUGAGGUCUCGGGAGCCCUGGAGAAGUAGGAGCGGACGAAAAUCGUGCAGGGCAGUGGGUGCGAGCAUGGAGUGGUGACUGUCGGUGUUAACUCUGUGUCUGUUCAUCG